UACGAAGGGGCUAGCGUUGUUCGGAAUCACUGGGCGUAAAGGGCGCGUAGGCGGCUUUAUAAGUCGGGGGUGAAAUCCCAGGGCUCAACCCUGGAACUGCCAUUGAUACUGACGGGCUUGAGUUCGGUUAAGGCGGGCGGAACUGGUGGUGUAGCGGUGAAAUGCAUAGAUACCACCAAGAACCCCGAUGCGUAGGCAGCUCGCUGAGCCGAAACUGACGCUGAGGCACGAAAGCGUGGGGAGCGAACAGG
rnacentral:rRNA from 1 species